rnacentral:rRNA from 1 species
GAUGAACGCUGGCGGCGUGCCUAAUACAUGCAAGUCGAGCGAACAGACGAGGAGCUUGCUCCUCUGACGUUAGCGGCGGACGGGUGAGUAACACGUGGAUAACCUACCUAUAAGACUGGGAUAACUUCGGGAAACCGGAGCUAAUACCGGAUAAUAUAUUGAACCGCAUGGUUCAAUAGUGAAAGACGGUUUUGCUAUCACUUAUAGAUGGAUCCGCGCCGCAUUAGCUAGUUGGUAAGGUAACGGCUUUCCAAGGCAACGAUGCGUAGCCGACCUGAGAGGGUGAUCGGCCACACUGGAACUGAGACACGGUCCAGACUCCUACGGGAGGCAGCAGUAGGGAAUCUUCCGCAAUGGGCGAAAGCCUGACGGAGCAACGCCGCGUGAGUGAUGAAGGUCUUCGGAUCGUAAAACUCUGUUAUUAGGGAAGAACAAAUGUGUAAGUAACUAUGCACGUCUUGACGGUACCUAAUCAGAAAGCCACGGCUAACUACGUG